rnacentral:rRNA from 1 species
UACAGAGGUGGCAAGCGUUGUUCGGAAUUACUGGGCGUAAAGGGCGCGUAGGCGGUUCGUUAAGUCCUGUGUGAAAUCCCCCGGUUCCAACUGGGGAACUGGCACAGGAAACUAGCGGGCUUGAGUUCGGGAGAGGGAAGCGGAAUUCCCGGUGUAGAGGUGAAAUUCGUAGAUAUCAGGAGGAACACCGGUGGCGAAGGCGGGGUCUCUGGGCCGAUACUGACGCUGAGGAGCGAAAGCGUGGGGAGCGAACAGG